rnacentral:hammerhead_ribozyme from 1 species
AUCCAGCUGAUGAGUCCCAAAUAGGACGAAACGCACGUUCUGGAU